rnacentral:rRNA from 1 species
UGGGGAAUAUUGGGCAAUGGGGGCAACCCUGACCCAGCGACGCCGCGUGGGGGAAGACGGCCUUCGGGUUGUAAACCUCUUUUGUACGGGAAGAAGGAAGUGACGGUACUGUGCGAAUAAGUCCCGGCUAACUACGUGCCAGCAGCCGCGGUAAUACGUAGGGGACGAGCGUUGUCCGGAAUUACUGGGCGUAAAGGGCGCGCAGGCUGUGCUGCAAGUCAGCUGUUAAAUGUCGGGGCUCAACCCGGGCA